rnacentral:rRNA from 1 species
UCCUACGGGAGGCAGCAGUGGGGAAUAUUGCACAAUGGGGGAAACCCUGAUGCAGCCAUGCCGCGUGUGUGAAGGAGGCCUUCGGGUUGUAAAGCACUUUCAGCGAGGAGGAAAGGUUGGCGCCUAAUACGUGUCAACUGUGACGUUACUCGCAGAAGAAGCACCGGCUAACUCCGUGCCAGCAGCCGCGGUAAU